rnacentral:rRNA from 1 species
CAGUAGCCGCGGUAAUACGAAGGGUGCAAGCGUUACUCGGAAUUACUGGGCGUAAAGCGUGCGCAGGCGGUUAUAUAAGACAGAUGUGAAAUCCCCGGGCUCAACCUGGGAACUGCAUUUGUGACUGUAUAGCUAGAGUACGGCAGAGGGGGAUGGAAUUCCGCGUGUAGCAGUGAAAUGCGUAGAUAUGCGGAGGAACACCGAUGGCGAAGGCAAUCCCCUGGGCCUGUACUGACGCUCAUGCACGAAAGCGUGGGGAGCAAACAGGAUUAGAUACCCCUGUAGUCCCUGUCUCUUAUAC